GCCAGACUCCUACGGGAGGCAGCAGUGGGGAAUAUUGCACAAUGGGGGAAACCCUGAUGCGGCGACGCCGCGUGAGUGAAGAAGUAUUUCGGUACGUAAAGCUCUAUCAGCAGGGAAGAAAAUGACGGUACCUGACUAAGAAGCCCCGGCUAACUACGUGCCAGCAGCCGCGGUAAUACGUAGGGGGCAAGCGUUAUCCGGAUUUACUGGGUGUAAAGGGAGCGUAGACGGCAGCGCAAGUCUGGAGUGAAAUCCCAUGGCUUAACCAUGGAACUGCUUUGGAAACUGUGCAGCUAGAGUGCAGGAGAGGUAAGCGGAAUUCCUAGUGUAGCGGUGAAAUGCGUAGAUAUUAGGAGGAACACCAGUGGCGAAGGCGGCUUACUGGACUGUAACUGACGUUGAGGCUCGAAAGCGUGGGGAGCAAACAGGAUUAGAUACCCGCGUAAA
rnacentral:rRNA from 1 species